UACGGAGGGGGCUAGCGUUGCUCGGAAUCACUGGGCGUAAAGGGUGCGUAGGCGGGUCUUUAAGUCAGGGGUGAAAUCCUGGAGCUCAACUCCAGAACUGCCUUUGAUACUGAAGAUCUUGAGUUCGGGAGAGGUGAGUGGAACUGCGAGUGUAGAGGUGAAAUUCGGAGAUAUUCGCAAGAACACCAGUGGCGAAGGCGGCUCACUGGCCCGAUACUGACGCUGAGGCACGAAAGCGUGGGGAGCAAACAGG
rnacentral:rRNA from 1 species